UUGUUUCGAGGCUGGUAGGCCUGCUGUUGUGGACGAUGUUGUUGUUGAUAUUGUUGAUGUUGUUGUUGAUGAUGAUGAUGUUGAACUUCUCUAAAGGCAGGUGCUAUAUGAGCCACCUGGUGUUGGCUGACGGCGAGACGCACGUUCUUCCUCUUCACAGAGGGUCUUCUUUUGAUAUAGGAAGACACAGCAUGUGCCUCUCCCUCCUUCUUUU
rnacentral:lncRNA from 1 species